UACGUAGGGGGCAAGCGUUUGUCCGGGAUUUAUUGGGCGUAAAGAGCGUGUAGGCGGCCUGAAAGGUCAGCUGUGAAACUCGAGGCUCAACCUCGAGACGUCGGUUGAAACCAUCUGGCUAGAGUCCGGAAGAGGAGUGUGGAAUUCCCGGUGUAGCGGUGAAAUGCGCAGAUAUCGGGAAGAACACCCGUGGCGAAGGCGGCACUCUGGGACGGUACUGACGCUGAGCACGCGAAAGCGUGGGGAGCGAACAGG
rnacentral:rRNA from 1 species